rnacentral:rRNA from 1 species
UACGUAGGGUGCAAGCGUUGUCCGGAUUCAUUGGGCGUAAAGAGCUCGUAGGCGGUUCGGUAAGUCAGGUGUGAAAACUCCAGGCUCAACUUGGAGACGCCACCUGAUACUGUCGUGACUAGAGUCCGGUAGGGGAGCAUGGAAUUCCUGGUGUAGCGGUGAAAUGCGCAGAUAUCAGGAGGAACACCAGCGGCGAAGGCGGUGCUCUGGGCCGGAACUGACGCUGAGGAGCGAAAGCGUGGGGAGCGAACAGG